CAGACGAUGCGUCAUGCAUAUCAAUAAGCGGAGGAAAAGAAACUAACAAGGAUUCCCCUAGUAACGGCGAGUGAAGCGGGAAGAGCUCAAAUUUGAAAUCUUAAAGGGUUUCCCUUUACGAAUUGUAGUUUAAAGAAGUGUUUUCUGUUGAGGUUUUGGUAAAAGUUCUUUGGAAUAGGACAUCAUAGAGGGUGAGAAUCCCGUAUUUGACCUUUACUUUCAACUUUGUGAUACACUUUCAAAGAGUCGGAUUGUUUGGGAAUGCAGUCCAAAAUGGGUGGUAAAUUUCAUCUAAAGCUAAAUAUUGGCGAGAGACCGAUAGCGAACAAGUACCGUGAGGGAAAGAUGAAAAGAACUUUGAAAAGAGAGUUAAACAGUAGCGUGAAAUUGUCAGAAGGGAAGCGUUUGACACCAGUGUUGUUUUUCUGAAAAUCAAUUAAAGAACUGUUUAUGCUAAGUUGUUUAGACUUUAUCAGCUAACUGUUUAGUUUUGAGCUUUUCUUUAAUGCACUUUUCAGUUAACAAGUCAACAUCAAUUUCUUUUGCUGUAAAAAAGCUUGAGGAAGGUGGCUUGAGAUUCGUCUUAAGUGUUUAUAGCCUCUUGCCUAUGCAGUCGGAGAGAUUGAGGUCUGCAGCGUAGAUCCUUCGGGGCUAAAUGCAUUUGUGCUAAGUUAUAGCAUUUUAUAGACAACUUGUUGACUAUGAUUCGUCUUGUAGCUUACUCGCUUAUGUUAUUUUACCUACGCUUAGGAUGUUGAAGUCAUCGUAUCGCGC
rnacentral:rRNA from 1 species